rnacentral:rRNA from 1 species
UAUUUGGAGAGUUUGAUCCUGGCUCAGAUUGAACGCUGGCGGCAUGCCUAACACAUGCAAGUCGCACGCGAAAGGGGGCAACCCUGAGUAGAGUGGCGGACGGGUGAGUAACGCGUAGGAAUCUACCUCGUAGUGGGGGACAACCCGGCGAAAGCCGGGCUAAUACCGCAUACGAUCCAUGGAUGAAAGCAGGGGACCGCAAGGCCUUGCGCUAUGAGAUGAGCCUGCGUCGGAUUAGCUAGUUGGUGAGGUAAAGGCUCACCAAGGCGACGAUCCGUAGCUGGUUUGAGAGAACGACCAGCCACACUGGGACUGAGACACGGCCCAGACUCCUACGGGAGGCAGCAGUGGGGAAUAUUGGACAAUGGGGGCAACCCUGAUCCAGCAAUGCCGCGUGUGUGAAGAAGGCCUUCGGGUUGUAA